rnacentral:rRNA from 1 species
AACGCGAAGAACCUUACCAAGGCUUGACAUACACCGGAAACGGCUAGAGAUAGUCGCCCCGUAAGGUCGGUGUACAGGUGGUGCAUGGUUGUCGUCAGCUCGUGUCGUGAGAUGUUGGGUUAAGUCCCGCAACGAGCGCAACCCUCGUCCUAUGUUGCCAGCACGUAAUGGUGGGGACUCAUGGGAGACUGCCGGGGUCAACUCGGAGGAAGGUGGGGAUGACGUCAAAUCAUCAUGCCCCUUAUGUCUUGGGCUUCACGCAUCUUACAAUGGCCGGCACAGAGGGCAGCGAUACCGCAAGGUGGAGCGAAUCCCAAAAAACCGGUCUCAGUUCGGAUUGAGGUCUGCAACUCGACCUCAUGAAGUCGGAGUCGCUAGUAAUCGCAGAUCAGCAACGCUGCGGUGAAUACGUUCCCGGGCCUUGUACACACCGAGACGAC